AACUCAAUAGCUCAGCUAGUAGAGCACAAGACUCUUAAUCUCAGGGCUGUGGGUUUGAGCCCCACCUUGGGCAA